GUACACGCUGUGACUAGCAUAUCAAUAAGCGGAGGAAAAGAAACUAACAAGGAUUCCCCUAGUAACGGCGAGUGAAGCGGGAAGAGCUCAAAUUUGAAAUCUUAAAGGGUUUCCCUUUGACGAAUUGUAGUUUAAAGAAGUGUUUUCUGUUGAGGUUUUGGUAAAAGUUCUUUGGAAUAGGACAUCAUAGAGGGUGAGAAUCCCGUAUUUGACCUUUACUUUCAACUUUGUGAUACACUUUCAAAGAGUCGGAUUGUUUGGGAAUGCAGUCCAAAAUGGGUGGUAAAUUUCAUCUAAAGCUAAAUAUUGGCGAGAGACCGAUAGCGAACAAGUACCGUGAGGGAAAGAUGAAAAGAACUUUGAAAAGAGAGUUAAACAGUACGUGAAAUUGUCAAAAGGGAAGCGUUUGACACCAGUGUUGUUUUUCUGAAAAUCAAUUAAAGAACUGUUUAUGCUAAGUUGUUUAGACUUUAUCAGCUAUCUGUUUAGUUUUGAGCUUUUCUUUAAUGCACUUUUCAGUUAACAAGUCAACAUCAAUUUCUUUUGCUGUAAAAAAGCUUGAGGAAGGUGGCUUGAGAUUCGUCUUAAGUGUUUAUAGCCUCUUGCCUAUGCAGUCGGAGAGAUUGAGGUCUGCAGCGUAGAUCCUUCGGGGCUAAAUGCAUUUGUGCUAAGUUAUAGCAUUUUAUAGACAACUUGUUGACUAUGAUUUGUCUUGUAGCUUACUCGCUUAUGUUAUUUUACCUACGCUUAGGAUGUUGAAGAUGUAGCACAUCAU
rnacentral:rRNA from 1 species